rnacentral:rRNA from 1 species
AUACGGAGGAUGCAAGCGUUAUCCGGAUUUAUUGGGUUUAAAGGGUGCGUAGGCGGUUUGCUAAGCGGGGGGUGAAAUGCCGGCGCUCAACGUCGGAAGUGCCUCCCGAACUGGUGGACUUGAAUGACUCUGCCGUGGGAGGAAUGUGUAGUGUAGCGGUGAAAUGCUUAGAGAUUACACAGAACACCGAUUGCGAAGGCAUCUCACGAAGGGUUGAUUGACGCUGAGGCACGAAAGCGUGGGGAUCAAACAGGAUUAGAUACCCUGGUAGUCCACGCAGUAAACGAUGAUGGCUAACCGCUGGGCUUAUCAGUUCAGUGGCCAAGCGAAAGCGAUAAGCCAUCCACCUGGGGAGUACGACCGCAAGGUUGAAACUCAAAUGAAUUGACGGGG